CUGGGCAUGUAGCUUAGCUGGUACAUGUGUAACAUGUGGGAGCCUUGGGUCUGAUCCUCCAGGCUGUGUAAACUGCGUGUGGCGGAACUGAUGUCUGAACGCCACGGUCUUAGCUUGCCCUCCCCUUUGAGGCGGACGUCAUCUUCAGCUUGGCUGUUUUUCUGUCCUGGUGAUUUGGAGUGAAUUGGGAUGAUUCUGCCCAUUUUGCAGGUAGGAAAGGAAUGGAGGGUGUGAGGCGGCUUCUGAAGCUUCGGUCUCUUGUUUCAUCUCUCUUUCCCUCCAGCCUUCCUCAGAGGCCAGGCCCUCUCCCUUCCAGGAAGGUUGUCAAGAGUCCCCUCUCCUCCUGGGGCAUCCAUGACAAAAACAGCUGCUCCCUGCUCUCAGCCCCUCCUCCCACCCCAGCUUCAGCCAUGUUUCCCUAGGUUCACUUGCCAAAUGUGUGCUCCGCUUGGAUCCGUUUUCUGCUCAGAGGCACCCGCAGGCUUCACAGUGGGGGGUCAGGUGGGCAUGUUCUUGUCAUCAGACUACUUGAACUGCAUGCCGCAGCUGAGAGCUAAUGAUGUCCCCAAACCCCCGUGCUAGAGGAGAAUGCAAGUCCGGAAACCUUCGCAGUUUGGUGGCCAGAACAGCCAGCAUUCUCGGGGAAUUUCUCCCGAAGGGAGCUGCUUGCCGAGACCAUUUGCGGUACUCGGCUCCUUUGAUGUCAGCCUUUUUUAAAAAUAGAAUUUUUAUUCUAUGUGUAUGGGUGCUUUGCCUGCUUAUGUGUCUGUGCACUACCACGGGGUGCACCUGGAAUCUGCAGAGGUCAGAAGAAGGGGUCAGAUCCCCUGGAACUUCAGUUAUAGACCAUUGUGAGCCCCCAGGUAGAUCCUGGGAAUUGAGCCCAGGCCCUGUGGAAGAGCAGCCAGUGCCCUUUAACUGCUGAACUAUUUCUCAGACCCUGAUAAUACCUUUUUUGAAAAUGUAUUCUUGCUGGGCGGUGGUGGCACACACCUUUAAUCCCAGCACUCGGGAGGCAGAGGCAGGCAGAUCUCUGUGAGUUCGAGGCCAGCCUGGUCUAUUAGAGCAAGAUCCAGGACAGGCACCAAAGCUACAGUACAGAAAAACUGUCUU